CACAUCAGAUGAUCGUGAUUUUAUAAAAGAAUAUUGUAGUAUUAUGCGACCAGUGUCCAAAGCCAUUGAUAUUCUUGAAGGUGAAAAGUACAUGUAUCUGGGUUAUUAUACCCCAACAAUAACACAAAUAAUUAUAUGUAUGGCAGAUGUGCAGGUAUUAAAAUAUUGUCAACCUCUAAAGGAUACUAUAUUAGCUAGUAUUGAAAAAAGGUUUAAUAAUCUUUAUGAUAAUGACAACAUCAUUGCUUCAAUUCUUCACCCUUUAUUUAAAACUGACUGGCCUUGGAUUAGGCAAGAAAGGAAUAAAGCAAAAAAGGAGGAAAUUUUAAAUUUAAUAAAUACCUUAAUACCUCAGAGUGAAUCCCAGACGAAUGAAUCAUGCUCAAAACCAACAUCACUUGAUGUAGUUGAAUUUUUUGACCUAA